AUACGGAGGAUCCGAGCGUUAUCCGGAUUUAUUGGGUUUAAAGGGUGCGCAGGCGGCCAUUUAAGUCAGCGGUUAAAUCGUGGGGCUCAACCCCAUUCUGCCGUUGAUACUGGGUGGCUUGAUUGCGGUCGAGGUUGGCGGAAUUCGUUGUGUAGCGGUGAAAUGCAUAGAUAUGACGAAGAACACCGAUUGCGUAGGCAGCUGACCAGACCGCAAAUGACGCUCAUGCACGAAAGGGCGGGGAUCGAACAGGAUUAGAUGCCCUGGUAGUCCGCACAGUAAACGAUGAAUACUUGUUUUCGGCGAUAUAAUGUCGGAGGCAAGGCGAAAGCGAUAAGUAUUCCACCUGGGGAGUACGCCGGCAACGGUGAAACUCAAAUGAAUUGACGGGG
rnacentral:rRNA from 1 species